UUUGAUUGAUUUGCAGAAAGCGAAACUGGGCAUUCUUAUCUGUCAUGUGUAUCAUCUCCGGACCAAGUUGAAACCACAACUGGAUAUCAGCUCCCUUGUGGAACACUUAUCUUUUGGAUAAUGUGGUGGGGCUUUCUUAGUCUUUUGAACAAUUUUCGUGGGGUCUUGUGUGGAGAAUGAACCGUAUGGGUUUUGAUUUGUUUCGUUUCAGGAUUGUGAUUUGGUCUUGUAUCUUGAAUAUUAUGACCCCCAAGGUGAGCGAGUUGGAUAUGUCUCUGGGAGAACUGCACGUCCAGUCGGGGAGUAACUUGUGAGUUUUGACCAUUGGAAGACGGGAAGCAUCAAACAUGCACAGAAAUGUGAAUGCGUUAGAACUUAAAACUGAAUACGGUUCUUGUACUCUGAUUAUUGCAGUCAUUUCUUGUUGGGAGUUGUCCCGCAUCAGUUUUGGGACGGGCAGAAAGCUAGAACAUAAGCGGCCAGAAUAAUUCCAUGAGUACAAGCCUUCGUCCAAAAACAAAGCCGUGCGGUCUCGGUUCAAAGCGGACAAUACCCUACUAUUGUAGGAUUUGGCUCGCUUAGCUGGCUCAGCAAUUUCUUUAUAUUUUUUAUAUUUUAAAGUUUAUCAAAUAUAAUAAAUUUUAUAAUAUAUAAAAAUCAACUACCU
rnacentral:lncRNA from 1 species